GGAGAGGCAGCGUGACCUAACGACGAAAGCCUCCACAACUGGUUUCUGUCGGUGUGAGUCCCAAAUCUGCCACUGGCUGGCUGGGAAACCUUGGCGAUUUGGGAAGAUGGAAAAUGCCAGCUUCAAAGCUGGCUCAUGGGGCUAAAAAGAAGCGACUCUGAAAAUGAGUGUUCUGUUGCCUGUGGAGCUGCCUGGAGGUGUCCUCAGCAAGGCCCUGAAUCACCAUCUGGGAAAGCUGCAUGUGCUGGGCCAAGAGAGGUGGCCUGGGAUGCCCAGCUUGAGGAAGGUGGAUUUUUACCCUGGAACAAGUGACAUGCAAAUAGGCAGCUGAACACAGUGACUUUCCAGGCCAGGCCUGCUCCAGCUGCUGUGCUCCAGCCUCGGGGCCUCAGCCUCC